GCCUACGGGGCGCAGCAGUGGGGAAUAUUGCACAAUGGGCGAAAGCCUGAUGCAGCAACGCCGCGUGAAGGAAGACGGUUUUCGGAUUGUAAACUUCUAUCAGUAGGGAAGAAAGAAAUGACGGUACCUAAAUAAGAAGCCCCGGCUAACUACGUGCCAGCAGCCGCGGUAAUACGUAGGGGGCAAGCGUUAUCCGGAUUUACUGGGUGUAAAGGGAGCGUAGACGGAGGAGCAAGUCUGAUGUGAAAAUCCGGGGCCCAACCCCGGAACUGAAGUGGAAACUGUUUAUCUAGCGUGUCG
rnacentral:rRNA from 1 species